rnacentral:rRNA from 1 species
UACGUAGGUGGCAAGCGUUGUCCGGAUUUACUGGGCGUAAAGAGCGCGCAGGCGGUCGUUCAAGUCGCGUGUGAAAGCCCCCGGCUCAACUGGGGAGGGUCACGCGAUACUGAUCGACUCGAAGGCAGGAGAGGGUAGUGGAAUUCCCGGUGUAGUGGUGAAAUGCGUAGAUAUCUGGAGGAAUACCGGUGGCGAAGGCGGCAUCCUGGACCAUUACUGACACUGAUCCGCGAAAGCUAGGGGAGCAAACGGG